rnacentral:rRNA from 1 species
AUACGGAGGGGGCUAGCGUUGUUCGGAAUUACUGGGCGUAAAGCGCACGUAGGCGGAUUAAAAAGUUAGAGGUGAAAUCCCAGGGCUUAACCCUGGAACUGCCUUUAAAACUAGCAGUCUAGAGUUCGAGAGAGGUGAGUGGAAUUCCAAGUGUAGAGGUGAAAUUCGUAGAUAUUUGGAGGAACACCAGUGGCGAAGGCGGCUCACUGGCUCGAUACUGACGCUGAGGUGCGAAGGCGUGGGGAGCAAACAGGAUUAGAAACCCGAGUAGUCC